rnacentral:antisense_RNA from 1 species
ACAUAUUAAUAGUUGUUAAUAAUUGCACAAUGCGUUUGUGUGACUGAUGGAGACAAUUUGGAAUUUAAUGUGGGGAAAAUGAGUAAUAACAAGUAACUUGGGAAUAAAAAAUAAAGGAUGGGUAUAUAUAAACGAGGGAAGGUACAUUAAAGUUAAAGUGACAAUAAAGAAUAAGUCAGGAUGUUGAAGAAUAGGAACGGAAAUACACAACUGAAUGCAGGAAUAUGUAAAAGCGAAUAGGAUGACUCUAAAAGAGAUUUUAAGUUAAUAAUUCCAAAAUUUUGGUAUUACGGGACUUGUUUAAAAAAAAAGUGAAAAGUUUGUUCAUUGGUUAGAAGAAUUUGAGUCGAUACUUGAAGGGAAGCCCAUAGAAGAGAACUUGAGAAUAAGUUGAUCCAAAGUAAGUAAUUCUUGGGGAAUAGUGGUAUCUCUGCAGCGGAGAGUGACUUUUUUGUCUCUUGCUUCGUUUUCGCCAAUAACAAGCAUGUAGUUCCAUUGCAAAAGUUGUGAUUCUCUAAUUUUUUUGUUAAUGGUGGCAGCACUGUAAUCUCCAGAAACGUCAAAACCUCUUCUGCAAAGCUCUCUUUCAACAGAUUUAGCAUAUUCAACAGUUUUUUCUGAGAUAGAGAGAACAAUGGCUUGCCUUGGAGAAAGCCAAAAGGGUAAUUUUCCUCCUGUAUGUUCAAGAAUUACAGCUGACAUUCUUUCUACACUACCAAGAAUUGCUCUGUGAAUAAUUACUGGCCUUCUGUAUCCUUGUUUAAGACUAUUGUCUGGGUUUUGAUCAGCAUUUUGGUGAGAGGGAGGUUGUUCUUGAUUUGUGGACUCUUCAGAAAUAUUUUCGUCAGUUCUAUAUUGGAGAUUAAAUCUAAUUGGGAGCUGGAAGUCAAGUUGGAUUGUUCCGCAUUGAUGUUGCCUUUUUAAGGCAUCCCAAAGCAUAAUAUCAAUUUUUGGGCCAUAAAAUGCUCCAUCCCCAGGGUUUAAUUUCCAGUCUCUACCAGUCUUAUCCAAUGCAGACUUUAAUGCAUUUUCUGCCUCUUUCCACUGUUCUUCUGUUCCCAAAUGUUCUUUUGGCAUUGUACUUAGAAAGAGGUCGAAUGUGAAUCCCAAUUGACCAUAUAUGAAGAAUAAAAAGUCAAGAGCUUUAAAUACUUCUUCUUGGAUCUGUUCAGGAGUACAGAAGAUAUGCGCAUCAUCUUGUUGGAAUCUUCUAACUCUAGUUAAGCCAUUUAAAGCACCAGAAAAUUCAUUUCUGUGAAGUACACCAAAAUCAGCUAAUCUAAUUGGAAGUUGUCUAUAUGAUGGAUUCAUAUGUUUGAACAUAACACAGUGUCCUGGACAGUUCAUUGGUUUUAGACCCCAUUCCUUUUCUUCUACAUCAAAAAUAAACAUAUUUUCUUUGUAAGCAAAGUAAUGUCCUGAAGUCUUCCACAAAUCGCAACUAAAAAUGUUUGGGGUAAUAACUUCAGUAAAUUCACGAAUUCUGUAUUCAUUUCUAAUAAAGUCCAUUAACUUAUUAUACAGUCUUGCUCCUGCUGGAAGCCAGAAACAUGAUCCAGGCGAUACAUUUGAGUCGAAGAAGAAUAGCUGUAAGUUUGAUCCAAGUAAUCUAUGAUCACGCUUUUUAGCCUCUUCCAACAUAUUCAAAUACUCAUCUAAGCGUUUCUUAUCUGGGAAAGAUACACCAUAAACUCUUUGUAAUGCAUCAUUUUCAGUAUUUCCAAGCCAGUUACAUCCAGAAUUCUUUGUAACUUUAAAAGCCUUAACAAUCCCUGUAUGAGGAAUAUGGGGACCUGUACAUAAAUCUACGAAUGAACCACAUCUAUAUAUUGUUGUUUGAGCACCAUCUGGGAUCUUUGACAUGAUCAAUGAAACCUUAAAAGGGUUAUCUUUAAAGAGUUCCAAUGCUUCUUCUUUAUUGCAUUGUAACCUUUCAAAUUGUUGCUUUUCAGAAAUUAUUGUUUUUGCACAAUUUUCAAUAUCAGAAUAUUCAGUAUUACUAACACUGUGAGUUCCCAUGUAUGAAUCAUAGUAAAAUCCUGGAUUAAGUGCAGGACCAAUUGUAACUUGAGCUCCAUAUUCAUUUUCUAAACAUUGACCAAGAAUAUGUGAUGAAGAGUGCCAGAAAACACCACUACCUUCAAGAGAAUCAAAUGUUAAAAUCUCUAAUUCACAAUCCCCUUCUAAUGGUCUAGUUGCAUCCCAAAGUCUCCAUCCAUCACUUUGAUUUUCGUGCCCUUGACAACAUGUUUCUUCUUCAUCUUCUUCAAUACCACGAACUUCAUCAUCCUCAAUAAAUAAUGAUUUGUUAUAUCUGAUUUUUGCUACAAUGCAGCUCUCCGCUAAUUUCUUUGAUAUUUGUCUUGCAAUUUCCAUAGGGGAUGUUUGGAACUUAACACCGUCUCUUUGAUCACCAUUCUGAAGGGUAAUUUUAAUUGGUUCAUUUUUUGAAGCCUUUUCCUGGAGCAAUGCACAUUGUUUUUCAUAAAGCGUUUUGAAUAGUGAGAGACGUCUAUUUAUGAAUUCUGGCUUCUUUUCUACUUUGAAUUCUCCACCAAUUUUUCCAACACUGGAAAGUGUUUUUUCAGUACCUUUUUGAAUUCUCUUUGGAUCCAUAGUGGGAAAUUAUUAUUAAGGUCUUUAAGUUUAUUCUAAAACUUUUAAU